rnacentral:misc_RNA from 1 species
AAAGUCGUAACAAGGUUUCCGUAGGUGAACCUGCGGAAGGAUCAUUAACAAAUCCAUAUUCUUAUGAACCAUUUGUGAACUGACCUAUGUGGUAUGGUUGUGUCUUUUCCCUAGUGGUAAGGGCACAGUCUCCUCUGGGUAUGCUGUGCUGGUUGGCUGUAAGGAGAAAGGCUUUAGCCUUGCUUUGCGCAGACUGCCUCGCGCGGUGUAAUAUAAACUAUUAAAACUUGUCUAAGCUAAAAUUACAAUAAUUUAAACAACUUUUAACAGUGGAUCUCUUGGCUCUU